rnacentral:rRNA from 1 species
CCUACGGGAGGCAGCAGUGAGGAAUAUUGGUCAAUGGACGCAAGUCUGAUCCAGCGACGCCGCGUGAGUGAAGAAGUAUUUCGGUAUGUAAAGCUCUAUCAGCAGGGAAGAAAGAAAUGACGGUACCUGACUAAGAAGCCCCGGCUAACUACGUGCCAGCAGCCGCGGUAAUACGUAGGGGGCAAGCGUUAUCCGGAUUUACUGGGUGUAAAGGGAGCGUAGACGGCGAUGCAAGUCUGAAGUGAAAGGCGGGGGCCCAACCCCCGGACUGCUUUGGAAACUGUAUGGCUGGAGUGCAGGAGAGGUAAGUGGAAUUCCUAGUGUAGCGGUGGAAUGCGUAGAUAUUAGGAGGAACACCAGUGGCGAAGGCGGCUUACUGGACUGUAACUGACGUUGAGGCUCGAAAGCGUGGGGAGCAAACAGGAUUAGAUACCCGGGUAGUC